UACGUAGGGCGCAAGCGUUGUCCGGAAUCAUUGGGCGUAAAGAGCGUGUAGGCGGCCUGGUAAGUCCGCUGUGAAAGUCCAGGGCUCAACCCUGGAAUGCCGGUGGAAACUGUCAGGCUCGAGUCCGGAAGAGGCGAGUGGAAUUCCUGGUGUAGCGGUGAAAUGCGCAGAUAUCAGGAGGAACACCAAUGGCGGAGGCAGCUCGCUGGGACGGUACUGACGCUGAGACGCGAAAGCGUGGGGAGCAAGCAGG
rnacentral:rRNA from 1 species